GACGAACGCUGGCGGCGUGCUUAACACAUGCAAGUCGAACGAAGAGCGAUGGAAGCUUGCUUCUAUCAAUCUUAGUGGCGAACGGGUGAGUAACGCGUAAUCAACCUGCCCUUCAGAGGGGGACAACAGUUGGAAACGACUGCUAAUACCGCAUACGAUCUAAUCUCGGCAUCGAGGAUAGAUGAAAGGUGGCCUCUACAUGUAAGCUAUCACUGAAGGAGGGGAUUGCGGCUGAUUAGCUAGUUGGAGGGGUAACGGCCCACCAAGGCGAUGAUCAGUAGCCGGUCUGAGAGGAUGAACGGCCACAUUGGGACUGAGACACGGCCCAGACUCCUACGGGAGGCAGCAGUGGGGAAUCUUCCGCAAUGGACGAAAGUCUGACGGAGCAACGCCGCGUGAGUGAUGACGGCCUUCGGGUUGUAAAGCUCUGUUAAUCGGGACGAAAGGCCUUCUUGCGAAUAGUGAGAAGGAUUGACGGUACCGGAAUAGAAAGCCACGGCUAACUACGUG
rnacentral:rRNA from 1 species